UACGGGGGGUGCGAGCGUUGUCCGGAAUGACUGGGCGUAAAGGGCGCGUAGGCGGUUUGUACAGUCAGGUGUGAAAUUCCCGGGCUCAACCUGGGGGCUGCACUUGAUACGUAUGGACUGGAGUGGGGAAGAGGGUCGUCGGAAUUCCCAGUGUAGAGGUGAAAUUCGUAGAUAUUGGGAAGAACACCGGUGGCGAAGGCGGCGACCUGGUCCUUGACUGACGCUGAGGCGCGAAAGCGUGGGGAGCAAACAGG
rnacentral:rRNA from 1 species